AGAUAUGCGACAACCAGCGCAGUUCCACUUAUAUUAGGAUGAGUAAAUUGUGCAGCAAGAGGUGUGAGGGCUUGGCUUGUAUGAUCGAGCAAAGGCGAAGCUGAGCCCUCUUAGUACUAUUUCAAUACUAACAGCAUUGUCUUGCUGUACAAUUCAUAGUUUUCUUUGUCUCUUGUUUGAGUGUUUCAUCUUUCAACUAUUGCCAGCCUUCAUUCUGAAGUCAGAAUUCGGCAUUAGGGACUGCUCUUCCAUGCACUUGCAUGGAUGCCCUUUUGGGUAGCAGCAUCAAAUUAAGAGAAGAAUGUUUCCCUUUUUCUAAGAGUUGAUUCUUUUCUAAGAGUGUCAAUUUCACUUACAUGCAUGCCUUUUAGAAUUUGGGAAUGCCAUCUGUAAAUGGACCCAGUAUAUACAAAAUGGGUUGCUGAUGAGUGGCAAUGAUGAUCAGCCCUUUUUAAGGACAUGCCUUUGAUAAAUCGAGGCAGCUGUGGCGUCAAAUUUGACCUUGAACCUCUGUGUUGCAGCUUAUGCGAUCAUUCCUUGUUUGACCUUGAACCUCUCUCUCUGCCCUCCUUUCCUGGUGGUGAUGGCAACUAGGCAAGCCGUGGCCCCCUUCACACAUCAUCAUCAGGCCCUUUGCUGGUGACGAGCAUCCACCAGGUAUGCUCGCCCCUUCUCUUCCCUUCCUGUUGUGCUAAACAGAGCACCCCAAACCCUAAUGUAAGCUAUUUGUAUUCGGAUCUGAUCCAGUUACAAGUAUAUGUAUGUGUUAUACCUACAAGCUUUGAUUUUAUUUAUUUAUUUUUUGCAAAAAAAAGUCAGGUGUACAUGUGUACGCCCUUGUCCUAUACUUGGUCUGUCCUCCCCGCUCUUCAGCAGCCGCAAGCAGGGCAGUGGUGGCAGCAAGGGGUCGGAAUUGCAAGUCAGGCUUUUGUUUUAAGCACUUUCUGCUUGCAAUAUUUUUAUUUGACUUGGAAUUUUCAAUGCCCCUCUUGAAACAUCCCCUCAAUAAAAGAGAAAAAGGAUAAAAGAAAUCUCAAUCAAUGUUCACUCUACUUCCACUGCUGUAUGAUCUUCGUUUUUGUUUGUUCUACUCUUGAGUGGCUAUGAUGAUUCAUCUGUAGCAUUGUUUUAGCUGGUACCUGGGAUUUUUGUUCUAUUUGUUGCUUAACUAGGAUGGCUUGUACAUCAAGUAACCAGUUCUACAGCCAACUGCGGCAGCUGAUGGCUGUUACCGCUGAUACUGAUGACAGCUGGUGGCCCGUCUGAACUGACAUUGCUGUUUCAUUUAAGGGGAGAGAGAGAGAGAGCUUAGAUUGUGUUGCAGCUGAUAUGGUACCUAAUCUGCUAUUUGAUUUGAUUUCUUCAAACCUUUUGUUUUUUACUCUUUUGAGCUCUUAUCUACUUAUUUCUUUAUGCUCUUUUGCAAGUCCUGCAGUUGAUGCUCUACCAAUCCGCGAUUCUGUCUUGCGUUGCUGCCACUGAUCUCAAGGGUUGUUCUUCACUUCCCUUCCUGCUGGAUUCGAACCUGGGACCUGGGUCAAUAUUAUUGGGACUAAUAUGUCCAGUCAGUUCAAUCUCACGAGUGAGCUUUGGCUUCCUGCAAGAAUGAAUAAGAUAAAAUUCCAAUGAGGGGCAAUGAUCAGCAAUGAUGUCUGAUAUAAGCGCCUUUGAGGCAGGCUGCUCUGGGCAUCAAACUGGAAUCUUCCCUCUCUUGGAAACCUUAUCAACUAUGCGCUAAUGGCUUUGUCCUUGGAUGGUCAUGCCAUUCUUCAUGGGUGAUAACCAGGACAGCUCCUCUUUCAGAACAGGUUGAUAGGGUGGUAAGAGAAGGUGGGGAAUGCAGUUAUAUGAUUGAGCAAAGGCGAAGCUGAGCCCACUCAAAUGUUUUACUGCUACCCACAGUAUUUUAUGUGAUCGGUUUUUUGUUGAAUAUGUUGUUGCUUUGUGUUUUAUGUCUAACCUAUUUACCAACUUACUUUCUUUUUGCUGUAUUUGUAUAACUCCAUGCAGUUACCUUGCCAAUUGCGUUCAUUGGCAAGUUGUGACAUUUCUUAAUUUCUGCAGUUUAAUUCUGCUAUAUUUGUUUGCAGUAUCCUGCUGCAAUAUCAGUGGUUACAUUACCUGAAGAUACUUUCAGCUAGCUUAGUGCAUCUACAAAUUUCUUGCAAUAAUUUAUUGAGUUAUGUUGGACCUCCGUGAGUUUGGACUCUGGAGGCAUUGUGUUAUUGGGAAGUACUAACUUUGGUCAUCACAACUAUUAUAUCCAUGCUGCAUUGAUAGUGAUGCAAGUUAUAUAUAUUUUGGGUCAUUGGGUCAACCCAAAAAGUUGAUAAAAUGAACUAGAAUGGUAUUCCACGUAAAUAAUUUGGGAGGAUAAAUAAACUAGUGCCAUGCCAUCGUAAUUAAUUUGACCCAGAAAACGCUAUUGGGUACCCACUUGCAUUCCUUUUGUUUUUCGGAAUUUUUUUGUCACUUUUGUCUGUUGAUCUUUCUUUCUUCUUUUGUACUGUUCUUCCGUGGCUGUGAUGAUUGGAUGCCCCAUAAAAGUGUUGCUUUUUAGCAUCCCUGAAUUGUUGUUUGCUUGGGCAUUUUUCUCAAUUUACUGCAUUAACUAGGAUGGCUUGUACCAUAACAAGUAACCAGUUUUUGCAACUAAUUGUUGUCAUUGCUACUGCUGUGGCUGUGGUGAUGGUGGUGUUGGAGGAGAUCUAUCUAGGAAUGAAUGAUCCUACUUGAAAAGUUCAUUGUGUUGGUAUUGGGGCAGAUCUGAGCCAUUCAAGUGACAUUACUGUUUGUUCCAUCAUUCGCUCGUACAAAGUUAUAUUUCUCGUUUGCUGUCUACUUAUAUUCCUUAAUGUUAUCCAGUACUCUCCAGUGAGUGAUUUCAACUUGGGAUAUGGAUGAUGGCAAUGGGACUAACAUUUCAACUCCUGUCUCCCGUCUCGUAAAAUUUGUAAUGCAUUCAGGCUUGGGUAGAUUCCUUGUUUUGUUUGUUGGGAUGCCCCAGCUUACUUGGAUGAAUUGAUCAUUUUCUUUUGGGCGGGUGGGGAGAUUAUAUUGUGCUUCCACUGUAAGUUUUUUUUUUCCCAAACACACAGGAGGAGCUGCGUAUCACUAUAUGAAGAAAACUAACACUGUAAGUUGUCAUGCUGAUAGUGGGUAAAUUUGUGCCAUUUAAGUGACCUCUUUUUUCUUUAUUGGACCCUUGUUUGAAUAACCGCUUGAAUUUCCGGAGUCUUUCAAUGACAGAUCAUGUUGAGAUGUGUCAUGGAUUAACUUUGGAAUAGGUUUGGAAAUCUAAAACCGGCUAAAUCACCCUAUGAACUAUGCAAAAUCUUCUAGACAACCCCCUGGUGGAUUUGAAGGGUGGUUUUGCCGCUGUUGCAUCUUAUAUGGCAGCUAAGAUGCUCUUUGAAUUGCUUCGAACUUUUAUUCUGUUUGGUACUCUUUUGAGCUCUUAUCUGCUUAUUCCUUUAUGCUCUUUUGUAUGUCCUGUUGGUGCUCUACCAAUCUGUGAUUUUCUUGCAUUGCUGAACCUUAUCCCAAGGAGUGUUUGCCCUCCUCCUGAAUCUGAACCUGGGAUCUUGGUCAAUGUUAGUGGGACAGAAAGUUGAGUUAAUUCCACCUUACUAGUUCCUGCCUAAGUUUCCUUCAAGAGCGAAGAAGUGAAAUCCUCAAGGGGCGAUGAUCAACAACCAUGGCUGACACAAGCACCUUUGAGCAAUCGAGGCUAUUGCGGGUAUCAAACUGGAAUCCUCCCUCUCCUCUCUUGGAAACCUUUACAACUAUGAUCUAAUGAUAGUGGCUUUGUCCUUGGAUGGUCAUGCCAUUCUUUAUGUGUGAUAACUAGGGCAGCGCCACCUAUCAGAAUAGGUUGAUCUGGUGCAAUGUUAUACAGUCGUCCAACUAAUCGCGGCUAGUCGGGCUUAUCGCCCCCCUAGCAUCGAUAAGGACCAACGACUAGGCAUGAGCGACUAGAAAGUUAGUCAUCCGGUUAGUCGUCGCCUAAUCGUGAUUAGUCGUCUGAUUAGGCUUAAAAACGAUCAGGUUUGAGAGUUGAGACAUUGGGUUUUGGCUGGUGGGUGGUGGGCUACUUGGUUGGCAAUUAGGCCCAUUAGGCUACAGGUGCUACUGAGAGCCAAAAUCGCCCGCAAUGCGUCGCCGCUCGCCUACCCAAAAUCGCCUGGCACCAUCCAGCCACCCAGGAGGCCGCUGUCGUCGGGGAGCUGCCCAUGAGCUUCACGUGCCUAGGAGCUCCCCGUCUUCCCAGUUGGCUCGAAGCUUGCUGCCGCCCAGCCCUAGGAGGUCGCACCGUUCGUGAGCAAUCCACAACUUUAAGAUGAGCUCAUCCUCUGAUGGUACGUUUUGUGCUCUGAUCUGCUGCUCUUGCUUUUAUGCUUGCCCUGCUCUUGCUCUAAUCUCCUCAGCUGCUGCUCUGCUCUUGCUCUGCUCUCCUCUGCUGCUGCUCUAGUGCUUGCUCUGCUCCUGCUUCAAGUUGCCAACUGACCAUCAUUUGUGGUGUUGAUGCUUGCUGAAUACUAUGCACUAUAUAGUAUACAUAUCAUAUCGGUCCUUGUAUGUAUGGACGACUAGGACCGACUAGAACCGACUAAUCGGAUCUGAUCGACGACUAAUCGUGACUAAUCACCUUAUCGGUGCCAUGGCAACUAGGUCCGACUAGAUGACUGUAUAACAUUGAUCUGGUGAUAAGAGAUGAUGGGGAUACAGUUAUAUGAUGAGCAAAGGCGAAGCUGAGCCUACUCAAAUUUUAUUGCUACCAGCAGAUCGUUUUAUGGAGUUUCCUUCAUUUUUUAGUUGAAUAUAUUUUCGCUCAUUUUUAUUCUCUCCAAUUUUUUUUGUAAUACUUUUGGAGUUAUGUUUUAGGGUCCUGUACUCCUGUUGGAGCUGGGGUGAGUUUGGACUUUGGACUCUGGAUGCAUUGUGUUUUUGGCAGUUACCACGUUGGGGCCAUCUCAACUACUAAUACACAUGCAGUGUUGAUCCAUUUUGCCACUUUCCAUGCACUAUUUUGGGUUUUCAGAUUGUUUUCUGGUGUCACUUUUGUCUUGAUAUUCCUUUCUUGUUUUGCACUGUUUUUCAAUGGCUGUGAUGACUGAAUGCCCCAUAGAGCUAUUGCCUUUUAGCAGCCCUGAACGUAUGGAUAUUUUGCUCAAUUUGCUGCUGAACUAGGAUGGCUUGUACCAUGGAAAGUAACCAGUUUUGCAACUAAUUGUUGCCAUCGCUGCUGCAGUGGCUGUGGUGUCGUAAUGCAUAUUGGAAUGAACAAUCAUACUCAAAAAGGUUCAUUUAGCGCCGCCACCCCUCCUCGCCGCCGCCUGAGCGGCCCCCAGAAGCCCUCGUGGCUGCAAGGAAGGUGACGGUGGGGCUCCACCAUCCUCCUUUCCUUCCCACCCUCGCGCUCUUCUUGGUGGCACCCAUGGCGGAAGCGGCGGUCGCCGGUCAUCCGCGGUCGGAUUUGCGCCCUCAGCCGUCGGAUUCUCACCCUAGGCUGCUAGAUCCGCUUCCCUCGUGCCUUAGCGUGUUGGGAUUUCUGAUGGCGGUGGUGGGUCCGGCAAAGGUGGCGCCUCGGGGUCGUACUCUCCGCCUGCGGCCUCAUCCUCCUGCGGGCAGCUCCCCCUGACCCCCCUCUCGACCAUUGAGGUGAGGUGCGUGGGUGACCCCCCUCUCGACCAUUGAGGUGAGGUGCGUGGGUGUUGAUUUCACGGAGUGCUCAGUCGUGGUGUCUGUGGGCUCACGGUGCUGCUGCAGCGGCGGAGAGCAACGCGGGGGUUGACGGCGCCAAAAUGGCGCCCUAGCCUGUGCGUAGGCGGAACGACGCGAGGCCGCAGCACUCGGUCGCUCUUUGGCUCGGCCACUAUGUACCGUUGGUGCCUCGGCUGGGCCAUGGUGUUGCCGCCAUCUACGGCGCCUGCGGCUCGACUACGGCGGCGUCGACGACUGGUGCUGCACCGCCGGCAGCCUCGUCCACGAUCGGCGGAGCUUUGGCUGCCACGGUCGCGUCUGCGAUUCGGUUGUGGCGGCGUCGGCGGCCGGUGCGGGCAUGGUUGCGACUGUGACUAGCCGUGGCGGCGCAUGCAGCCAGCGCGCCCCAAUGAUGCCGGCGAUGUCUUGGGUGGAUGGCCUACAGUGGGUGCUGGGCGAAAGCUCUACCUAGCAUAAUGCUAGGCCCGAUGACGGUGAUGCCUUGGGGCACCAUCUUCCUUCUUGAAGGCGUUGUCGUAGCACCACUUGCUCCAAUUCCACUCAGGGGGGAGUGAAAACCUAUUUUCAAUCUUCCAAUUUAGUGAUGGCGAUGUGUGUUUGACGUCGUCCCUUGACGAAGGCAUCACUUUGGAGAUACCCUUGAAGGCAUCGCUUUGGAGAUACCCUCCUGCCACUUCUCAGGACCACCCAUGGUGAUGCUCAUCCUCCUUCCACACCAUCCAUACAUACACUUCUUCCAUCGGUGGACAAUGGUUGUCGACUUCUAUCGUGAUUCGGUGACUGUUCCCUAGCACCUCUGCUCCGUUAGUGCUCUCCUUGUUGAUGGUGCCAUCAAAUCUUAUGCCGCCAUCAAAUCUUAUGCCGGGUAGUUCCACCUCUACUACCAUUCCUCUCGAGGUUUCCUCCCCUUGUACGUCGUUGGGUGGCGGUACGUGGAUCCCGGAUGUGCGACAAAUGUGGCGGUACGUGGAGCCCGGAUGUGCGGCAAAUGUGGCGGUACGUGGAGCCCGGAUGUGCGGCAAAUGGUGUUAGUCUCCUUCAAGGGAGGUCCCCGUGUCCAGCGUGUUUUGGUUUGCGUGCCUCCUGCCACCUUUAGUCCCCAUUUCGUUGGCCUAGCUCUCUACGCGUUUUGGUUUGCGUGCCUCCUGCCACCUUUAGUCCCCAUUUCAUUGGCCUGGCUCUCUAAUAGAGGGUGACAAUGGAGCGGUGGCUCUCUAAUAGAGGGUGACAAUGGAGCGGUGUAGUUAAAGGGGUGGAUUGGAUGUGCAAUAUCCAUGAUGUACCUGGCGAGCAUGUUGUUCAUUGGAGACUCAAAUCGGCGAUUGAUGGUUCUUCAGCCUAAAUCAUGGCCUUUCACCUGGCGAGCAUGUUGUUCAUUGGAGACUCAAAUCGGCGAUCGAUUGUUCUUCAGCCUAAAUCAUGGCCUUUCACUUGAGGUGUCUGUAUUGUGUUUCUACGUAUGUUGUACUCUGGUUGUAAACCUCUCAUGUUUUUCUCUUGCUAAAAAUUAAGACCGGUUUUGGCCUACCUGAGGCUCCAUAAUGAAAUUUAGGUAGGGAUUCUCUCCCCCUCAUGACCCUUCAAAAAAGUUCAUUUAGAGAGGGAAGGAGGGUAGGAAACAUUGUGUUGACAUUAAGGGCAGAUGUGAGCCAUCCAAGUGACUUUGGCUCAAAGUGACUUCUGUUCCGUUCGUUGUUUCCUACUUCAGCUUCAGUUAUAAUUCUCUCCUGUUCUCUAUCUACUUAUUCGUUCUUGCUAUCCAUUAUUCUCCGAUCAUUUCAACACGAGUCUUGGUUCAUGGUAAUGCAAUAAUGGGACUAACAUGUCAACUCUUGGUCUCAUCGUAGUUUCCUUGUUUUGUUUGUUGGGAUGCGCCACCAGCUUACUUUGACAAGUCUUUUCUUUCCUGCAGGCUCUCAUAUUUAGCUUACUGGUUUUUCAAUUUUAAUGAACGAUCUGAUCACCAAUUGAUCUAGUUGAAAUUGUAGAGUGAUGUAAGUUUGAGCAAAUUGUUGGAUUCUUACAAAAUAGUAAGCUGGAUUGUACAAACUAGGAUCAAAAUUUGUUUAUUUGUUUUUAUUCUACUUGUAAAAGUUGAUUCCACAAUCAUAUAGGCCCUUAAGGCCUUAAUAAAGCAACAAAUUUGUCCAAAGAAACUAUUAUGUUUUGGCUCAACCUAGCACUUAGAUUUUCGUUCUAUUAUUUCAGCAGAUCAGGUGGCCAUCCAUCUUCUCUCCUACUUAACGCUAUCAUUGCCUUCCACUGUGAUGCACUAUUGGUUACUAUUGCUCGUCGGUGUCCCCUCUAUGGCCAUUGGUUUUUUUGGGUUGCUUCACCUCACUCUCACGCUAGCCCCUACUUCGGCCUUUCUUCGCCGGCUUCGACUGUCAGAAUCUAUACACCUUUCUGUCAUCUAGUCCUGCUAAUUGGGCUGGAAUCCAAGCUAUAAUCAUACCCAUCCAUUCCCAGGAGGGAAAUAAAUACAACCCACCCAAAUCCAUACCUUUGCCACUACACACCGUACCACCCUAAUCUUUUUAAUGUUUAUUAAGGAAACAAACUCUGGACCAACUAUGAUUUCAACACAUUAAACCCAUUAAGAAUCUGUUAGCUAGCUAGUAACCAAACUCCAUCUUCUUUGAGAUCAAUGUAGAUGUAUCUUGGAUUCCUCGAGAAAAACCCUGUGGUAAAAAUCUAAGGAAUAUGUAUGUACAAAUACGCUAUAAGAACUCCUUUAAACCUUAUAGGAAAGUAAGGAGAAAAUAGCAUAUAUGAGUGUGAUUUAAAUAAAUCACCAUGUCAUUGGUAUCCCAUUAAAAAUCUAGUGGGAAAAAUAUUGGAGAUACGACAUCUAGAUUACCCCUCAAAACAUUUCAGGAAAAAUAUGAGUAAUAUAAAUUGAUAUGUUGCUAAAACUCCUGUAAAACCCAAUGGGAAAAUUAGGAGAAAAUAUGACAACAUAUUAUUGGUAUUGCCUCUUGAUAACUUACAUGAAAAACCUUUUAAGGGAAAAAUUAUGGAUAAAUUUGUGUCUUUGAUAGUUUCCAAAAAACCCCCGGUGGGAAAAAUAGGAAAUAAGACACAUGCUUAUGUUCAUAUUACCUCGUUAAAAACUUUAACAAGAAACCUUGUGAGUAAAACUGGUGAAAGAAAAAAGUUUAAUAUGAUGCUGGUACAGGUUAAUAUUUAGGAGAUAUCUCCUCUGAUUCUGGCAAAUCUCGAAGUCGCCGCAUACCAAUUCCAUGUACCAAUUUUUGAAAUACAGAAGUUUGUAAGGACUUAGUAAAUAGAUCAGCGAGAUUAUCAUAUGACUUGAUUUGCAAGAUGUUUAUUUCCCCGCUUCCUUGUAAUUCAUGGGGAUAAAACAGUUUAGGAACAAAAUGCUUAGUGAUAUUGCUCUUUAUAUAACUUGUUUGCAUCUGUGUAAUACAAGCGGACAAGCGGAAUUAUCUUCAUAGAUAAUUGUAGGUGACUCAAUUGAACCAAUACCACAUGAUUGUUGUAUGUGGUUAAUCAUUCUGCGAAGUCAUAUAUAUUCUCGUGAUGCCUCGUAUAGAGCAAUAGUUUUAAAAUAAUUAGUAGAGGUCGCUGUCAUAGUCUGCUUAGAAGACUUCCAUGAAAUAGCUGUACCUACUGUAGGAAUACAAAUCGUGUUUUGGGAUUUUCCAUUAUGAGGAUCAGAUAAGUAACUAGGAUCAGUAUAACCAAUCAUACUGGGAUUAUGAUUUUUCUUGAAAAAUAGACCAAGAUGUUUUGUACCAUUAAGGUAUCUGAGGAUACACUUCGCUCCCGUCCAAUGACGGCGAGUUGGGUUUGCACUAUGCCUAGCCAGUAAGUUCACUGCAAAUGCGAUAUCAGGCCUAGUGCAAUUUGCAAGAUAUAUAAGUGCGUCAAUGACACUGAGAUAUGGGAUUUCUGGUCCCAACAUCUUUUCCCCAAUAUCCCGUGAUCUAAAUGGAUCUUUCCCUACUUCUAAGGAACGAACAACCAUUGGAGUUUUAUUGUGUAUGAUUUAUCCAUAUUAAAUUUCUCCAAUAUUUUCUGGAUAUAGGCUAAUUGAUGCACUAAAAUCCCUUAAGGAGGGUGCUCAAAUUGUAAGCCUAGACAAUACUUGGUCUUACCCAAAUUCUUCAUCUCAAAUUCCAUCUUUAGAUGUUUGUGUGCUUCUUCUAUAUCCUUAGGGCUGCCAAUGAUAUUUAAAUCAUCAACAUACAUGAAUCUUUACCUAUUAUUAAAGCAAGUAACGCCUCUGCCUGAUUUUUCGUCCGUCGUGGUCAUUUUGCAAAAAAACCCCUGACGUUUCAUGUAAUCAACCCGCAGUCCACUUUUGAAGAGACGGGGGGCUCGGUUGCUAAAAAGUGGAAAGGGAGGGUGUUAAAGGUGAAAGAGCUUCUCUUAGAAACAGACAUCCCAGUGCCCGUAUCCGCCUUCCCCCUCCCUCCCCUUUCGCCGGCCAUCUUCGGGGGAGGAUGUAACGCACGCCGCCCCCCGCCCCCCGACCCGCCUGCUUCACCCACGGAUCUGCGCCGUCGCCGAUCCGAUGGCUCCAUCGCUCCCCCCUCUCGCCCCUCCUCCGUCCCCUUCCGCCGCCCAUCUUGUUAUUAAUUAGUACACAGACCCGUGGAUCCCGUCCGGCAACCUCGAGCACACGCUGCACAGGUCCAGGGAUUCGGCGGGGCGCGUCGUGGAGCGGAUGCAGCACACGCUGACCGCCGCGCGGGUGCUCUGGAAGUCGCUCCUGUCCGUGCUCUCGUCGGCCAACCAGGAGGUGCGGUCCGGGUUCGAGUUGCGGGUGGCCGCGCUGCUCGACGACAUCACCGCCGCCAGCGUCGCGCGGCGGGCCGCCAUUGUCUCCGCGGGCGGAGGUGCCGUCGUCGACUGGCUGCUCGACAGCGUCAUGCGGGGGGCCACGCAGGCCGAGGCUGCCAGGGCCCUCGCGCACCUGGUGGCUGACCCCCUGGGUCGCGCCCGCCGUUCUCGGGCGCCCGCGCGCGGUUCCCUGCCUCCUCCAGUUCAUCUUCUCGUACCAGCCCACGCGCGGCAAGAAGGUAAUGACGGGUCUUCAACCUGUUUUUUCGGCUUUGGUUGAUUGCUGUAAUGUGGUUUGGUACAAGCUUGCAAUAGUUUAAUUCCACAGAAGUAUUCAGAUGUUGAGUGAGUAUAGCUUGUGGCCUAGCUUAUGAUCAUACUCAGGUGUACUUCAGUUUACGAGAAGCAGCAGCCAAAUUUUUUAAUGUUCUGGGCUCUUGCUUUUUUUGAGAUACAAUUAGUUCGUUGUACCUAACAUAUUUUCUUUUUUGAGACAGAAAUCUUCAUUCGAUGGUUCAGAUCAUUCUUAAGGGAGGAGCAUGCUUGUGGCUGCACUUAUGGAUAUCAUCACUUCAAACUGUGAUAAUGCAGACUACUCGUCGUUUCAGCCUUUGCUGCCUGCAGAUGUUGAUACAAGAGACAUUAUUUAUAUAGAUAAUACAUGUAAUGUUUAAGAUCACCCGUAGCAACGCACGGGCAUGUUUGCUAGUAUAAUACAAAAUCCCGUUCGAGAUUUCUUAAUGAGAACACAUGGGCAAACAUCAUUGUUAGUGUGUCCUUUCUUUAGAAGGAAUUCACUCAGUCGGUUGUACCACAUUUAUCCUGACUGCUUGAAGCCAUAUAAUGACUUUUGUAGUUUUACACAAUACAUGUUGCGAUUUGCGUUUGAUUCGGAAUUUGGAUUCCAUCGGGAACCUUCAUGUAUAUGUUUGAAUCAAGUGAUCCAUAUAGAUAUGCUGUCACCACAUCCAUUAACUGCAUAGAUAGAUGAUUUUGAACUGCCAAUGAUAUUAAGUAUCGAAGAGUAAUUCCACUCAUUACUAGAGAAUAAGUUUCAUUGUAAUCAAUGCCAGGUCUCUGCGUGAACCCUUGUGCUACUAAUCUCGCUUUAUAUCUCACCACCUCAUUGUUCUCAUUCCGUUUUCGAAUGAAAACCCAUUUAAAGCCUACAGGAAGGACUUUGGAAGGUGUCGGACAUCCCUAGCGAGGCCAGCCGGAACAUCAUUGAUCCCUCUCCUCACCGUCCGAGGAGGGAUCCCACUCGACCGUCCAACCCGGAGGGAGCUGGGGUGGCCAAGUGCCAGCAGGAGAAGGGUCGGGAGCAGCAACAACACCUGAAAAACAGGAGCCACAACAAGGCUGAGCUACUAAGCUCAACAAGACUUAACCGACAGGAGUAAGGCUACUCCACACUUCUAGACAUGCAAGGCUUUAUGGCUGAGGGGUUUGUUUGCCAAAAGCACUAAGUAAAACCCUAUUUUCAAGUUUUAGCUCCGGUUCUAAGUUCAUUAACCGGUCUAGGUUUUGCACCCUAUUCUAAGCAAUCAUAGAACCAAAACAAGGUAUGUAUAUAUGUCAACAAAACCAUGUCAUCAUCAGAUUCCUCAUUUACUCAGGGUGACAUAGCGAUCAAGCAGUCUCAAACUGUGAGAGGCAGACGAAUCGAUUCGAGUUCUUUAACCAUGCAUGGUGAACCUAACCUCACGACAUCCGCGCACCCAGAGGUCGCUUCCUGUGUCGGCCUUCCCCAUCAAUCCCCUAACCCGUGUCGGGCCCAUUUACUUUGGUGCAAGGUUUCACAGACCCGGCCUCUACCGUUCUGUGACCACGCUUGCCACCACGUGCGACAACCAGCAGGGGAAACUCCGUUCCAAGAACAAUGGGGCGACCGCUCACGUCUAGGUUCAAUCCGGUACUAGGCUUCCUCAUCCCAUACUAAGUAUGAAGUUUGCCCCUAAUGCCGGGAAAUGGUCCUCAUUAAUAUAUGCAGUCGACGUAUCGGGUCGCGAAUAAGUCCCCUGUAAGAGGCUCGAGGUAUUUGAUAAUUGAUGGAGAUUGAUAUCCCACAUAGAUACCAAGUUUCCUAUGUGGGCCCAUAGAAGUACGCUUAGGCAAUGAGAUCGGUACGUAUACAACGCAACCGAAUUUUCACAGAUAGGAAAUAUUUGGCAUAUUCCCACGUACUAAUUGCAAUGGGGACUGCAUGAUACGCAGUUGGUCGCAAUUGUAUUAAGUCAGCAGCGUGUAAGACUGCAUGACCCCAACUUGAGGUUGGUAGGUUGCAAUUUUGUAAUAACAGUCGUGCAAUGGGUUUAAUUCUUUUAAUAAGAGAUUUUGCUAAACCAUUUUGUGUAUGGACAUAUGGGACAGAGUGCUGAACUUGAAUUCCCAAAGCCAUACAAUAAUCGUUGAAAGCUUUUGAGGAAAAUUCAGCAGCAUUGUCCAUUCGAAUUGAUUGAAUUUGAUGUUCAGGAUUAUGUGCUCUAAGUCUAAUAACUUGAGCAAUAAUUUUUGCAAAUGCAUGGUUACGAGUGGAUAAAAGACACACAUGAGACCAUCUAGUAGAUGCAUCUAUUAGAACCAUGAAGUACCUGCACGGUCCAGACAGUGGUUGUAUAGGGCCACAAAUAUCUCCUUGAAUACGUUCAAGAAAUUUUAGUGGCUCAUUUGAAUCUUAGCGGUCGAUGGCUGUACGAUCAAUUUUCCUGUAGCGCAUGAAGUGCACAUAAAAUCUGAAGAUUUAGGGAAUUUAGCAGUAUUUAACUCAUGACCAUUAGAAUUGCUGAUAAUUUUUUGCAUCAUCCCCAUACUAGGAUGGCCAAGGCGAUCAUGCCAAGUUUUGAAUGCGUCAAUAUUCGGAAAAAUUACCUUAUGCGCAACAUGUGGUACGGGUUUAAUGUAUGUAUAGUACAAUCCGGAUGAAAAAGAGGGAUUUUUUUCAAUAAUUUGUUUGCUAUAUCCGCUAUUUUUAGUAAUGAGGAGAAUUUCCUCAUUAUUGUCAUCACAUGUUUCUAUAUGAAAACCAUUUUGACGGAUAUCUCUAUAACUUAACAAGUUACGCUUUGAGUCAGGAUAGAAUAAUGCAUCCUCAAUUGUAAUUUGGGUACCCAUGGGGAGUACAACAGUGGCACUAUCAGAGCCAAUUAUUGUAGCAUCGCGUCCUGCGACUGUCAAAACAUUUCCUUGUCUUUUUGUAAGAGUUUGGAAAUACUUUGUUUCUCUAAGUAUAGAAUUAGUGGUACCACUAUCCACGAGGCAUAAUUCCUCCUCCAUCAGAUUGACCCCCAUAGGAACGUGGGUUGUUUAGGAGCAUUCGCAUGUUAGUUGUUCUCUAUUCACGAGCGCGUUGAUAACGUGUUGAAUGUGAAUGUAAAAUGAACAGAGAUUUGGGAACUCCUUUGUGUUUAUUGAUCUCUUUGGAUUAUAUACAAGUGAACAGCCGCGUUGUAUGGACGUGACUGUUCGGGAAAAGGUAACUGUUCAAUGGAACAAUCUACUAACGAAGGGACAUGUCCUUCGUAGUGCUAACUGCUUAUACUAACUAACUGCUAAUUCUCUUCCUCUGUUGAUGAGAUCACUGAGUAUAGAGAGGUGUCUGUUAGGAACAGACACACCGUUUCGUAACACAAACCAUGUUGGCGGAUGAUUGCCCGCUGAAGCCGCUAUAAGAAGACAAAUGACCAUAAUCACAUAAAUAAUCAAAAUACAUAAAAGAAAAUAGAGAAGGAAGAAAAUUGCAGCAUAUUCAGUUACAAAUAUAGACAAUGUUAUAAAUCUUGAAGUCUCAAUGACACGAAUUAUUACAAAUUAGUUCCAUCCACCAUGUUAUCCAGAAGAGGUCAAAUUAAACUACUACUAGGAAUGUCAAUUUACGACAAUACUGAAUUGCUGAAGCUAUCUGACAGAAAUGUCAUCUCCUUCAGUUGCGUCAAGAUGUGCUCCAUAUACUCCCGCUGCCAGUUAGACUCACGAUAUCUGGAACUUCUUCCCAUGCCCAUAAGUUCGAAUGCAUUCCAUAGAAACAAUCUCAUCAACCACCAUGAACCUUAUAUGUUCGAUCAAAGCCACUCGUGAACUGGUAAAUAAUCUGCAUAUGUCCUAAAUUUGUGCAGCUAUUUUUUGCCAAUGGUUAGGUAAAAGUUAGAAUUCAAGCAGCUAUCAGUGUGCAUCUGAAAGUUAGCUGGCAGUAGAUGUUGACUCGAUGCAAGUUUACCAUCUGGAUGUCAACUGAGACCUUGCCAUGGAAUUGACAGGCUUGGGAUGUGCAAAUGAACCAGAAGCUCAAAGAUGAAAUUUUCAGUCAAGAACUCAAGAUACUAUCAUCACAUUAUGCAACUACAAACUAUGGAGCUGCAACUUAUCACUACAAUAGAAAAGGCACUGAAUAGAAGGUCCUGUGUAACAAGAUAAAAUUGACUGAUCUUGCAACUACACACAAGAUGCCGAAUGAGAACAGAUACACGAGAACAGAAAGACUUUUGGAACAUCUUCUUUGACAAAAAUUAAUUUCUGGAACAUUCAACAAACACUUGACAUUGCCAUUUGCCAAUGUAACUCUUAGCUCUGAUAUCACAUAUUCUUAUUAAAAUUUGCUUAAGAUGUACUCCCUCCGUCCCAAAAAGAAUGAUUUUCGGGGAUUUUUCAGAUAGAUUAGGGGUGAAUGAAAAAGACGCAUGCACCCUUUGUUAGUUCAGUUUGCAUAUAGAAAAUGGAGAAAAUAUGUUUCCAUUUAAUGGUGCAUGUACCAUAUCAAUGCCACAAAUUAUGCAUGCAUAAGAUUCAAAUCCUAGAACGUCAUUCUUUUUGACAAUUUUUGAAUACUAAAACAUCAUUCUUUUUGGGACGGAGGGAAUAGUCGGUUAAAAAAGCAAGAUCCUGAAUCUUCAAAGUCAAUGGCAGAUUGGCAGUGUGGUAGUACUUAUUUCAACCAACCAAACAUCUCAAUCAAUCAAGAAAUCAUAAUGACAAGAUACCACCAUAACAAUAUAUAGGAAUUAUGCAUCAAGAAUUCUUACAACAACAACAUAGCCUUUCAGUUCCAAGCAAGUUGGGGUAGGCUAGAGUUGAAACCCAACAAGAGUCACAAAUCAGGGUUUGAGCACAUGAAUAGCUGUUUUCCAAGCACUCCUAUCUAGGGCUAAAUCUUUGGGUAUAUUCUAUCCCUUCAAAUCUCCUUUUAUUGCUUCUUCCCAUGUCAAUUUUGGUCUUCCUCGCCUCUCUUCACAUUACUAUCACGCCUUAGGGUUCCACUACACACUAGUGCCUCCGGAGACCUAUGUUGGACAUGUCCAAACCUUCUCAGCCGGUGUUGGAUAAGUUUUUCUUCAAUUGGUGCUACCCUUAAUCUAUCACAUAUAUCCUCGUUCCGGACUCGAUCCCUUCUCGUAUGACCACAAAUUCAACACAACAUACGUAUUUUCGCAAUAUUUAUCUAUUGGACACAUCAUCUUUUUGUAGGCCAACAUUAUGCACCAUACAACAUUGCAGGUCUAAUCAUCUUCAUAUAAAACUUGCCUUUUAGCUUCAAUGGUACCCUCUUGUCAUAUAAAAUUAUCCGAUAUGGUGUCGCUAAGAGGGUUACACCCCAACGGAUUUCUCUUGGGUUUCAUCUCCAUUAGAAUGGCUAGGUUAAACGUUGGCUCGCCAAGCCUAUCAUAACCCUCCUCCUUUACCAGGGCUUAGGACCUGCUAUGUUGAGACAACAUAGGCGGAGUUGCAGCAAGAAUUCUUACUGGUAAGAAAAAUUAAGGCACCAUACCUAAAUACUAUGAAUUACAUGCUAACACAAACAAUGUCCGCAGGUUAGAAUUGUAAGUUAGAAUUAACAAUGAAACAUAAAUAGUUGUAAGAUUAGAUUAAGCAAGGACGCAUUCCGCAGGUUGAAAAGAGCAAGCAAGCACGCAUGUGAAAACUGGAACUGAAAGAGGCAGGUGGGAGCGUUACGGCCCAAACAUUAGUGAUGCAGUCCUUCAUGUCGCUGCGGCGGCAGUCCCAGCAGAGCUCCUCGAUGGCCAGGAGCCGGCAACAGAGGUCGGCCAUGUUACACAAUCGCACUCCAUCAGGAAGACGCACUCGCGGAGGGUUUCUUCUCCUCCAGCAUCACUGUGCGCCUUCUUGUCCUCCUCGUCAUCCUCGCCUGGGGCUGGCAGCUGGACCAUCUAGAUGUGGUUGAUGUCAUGAUCCAGGCAGCGCUCCACCUCAACGUUCUCCUCCAUGUUGCAUUGUUGCUAUCACCGGAGCCGGAGUCAUCCUCGCUGGCGGCGCCCUCAGCGUCGGCUCGGAGGUGGUGUGGCGGAUCCACUUCGGAUCUACUUGGUUAAACAUGAUUUAGCCGCCUGAUACGCGACGCUCAUGCCUAAGCCGAGUAAGCACGAAGUGCCGUCGGAUUUCCUCCGAUUUAACCACUUAAACAGGACCAUUUUAGCAUACCCACACGAAGGUGAGCGGUUCCAGAGAGUACAACGAGUCCACCGAGUUAAUAACUUAACCACUUAGUUUGAUUAUGAAAUAAACAUCAGAGUUUACAAGGUUUUCAGAAGGCAACGGAGAGUAAAACCACUAGUGGAAGCAACGUCGGGGUCGGACAUCCCUGGCGAGGCCAGCCGGAACAUCACUGAUCCCUCUCCUCGCCGUUCGAGGAGGGAUCCCACUCGACCGUCCAACCCGGAGGGUGCUGGGGCGGCCAAGUGCCAGCAGGAGAAGGGUCGGGAGCAGCAACAACACCUGAAAAACAGGAGCCACAACAAGGCUGAGCUACUAAGCUCAACAAGACUUAACCGACAGGAGUAAGGCUACUCCACACUUCUAGACAUGCAAGGCUUUAUGGCUGAGGGGUUUGUUUGCCAAAAGCACUAAGUAAAACCCUAUUUUCAAGUUUUAGCUCCGGUUCUAAGUUCAUUAACCGGUCUAGGUUUUGCACCCUAUUCUAAGCAAUCAUAGAACCAAAACAAGGUAUGUAUAUAUGUCAACAAAACCAUGUCAUCAUCAGAUUCCUCAUUUACUCAGGGUGACAUAGCGAUCAAGCAGUCUCAAACUGUGAGAGGCAGACGAAUCGAUUCGAGUUCUUUAACCAUGCAUGGUGAACCUAACCUCACGACAUCCGCGCACCCAGAGGUCGCUUCCUGUGUCGGCCUUCCCCAUCAAUCCCCUAACCCGUGUCGGGCCCAUUUACUUUGGUGCAAGGUUUCACAGACCCGGCCUCUACCGUUCUGUGACCACGCUUGCCACCACGUGCGACAACCAGCAGGGGAAACUCCGUUCCAAGAACAAUGGGGCGACCGCUCACGUCUAGGUUCAAUCCGGUACUAGGCUUCCUCAUCCCAUACUAAGUAUGAGGUUAGUACUUUCAAACACUUGAUCACGAACACCACCACUGUCGGGCCUUAGCAAGUUUUCAUAGACAGACGGGGCGAUCAUCCGACCACCAAAGAGUUACCCAAACCCUGCCCCGUCCAUCAUCCUUACAGUUGUAACAGAAAGGUAGACAUCCAACUCCUACAACUCGCGAGUGACAGGGAAUCACUCGGCUUUUACCGUCUCCUAGUUAAGCAAGCAAGCAGCUACCCGGUCCAACAGCUAGUGUUCAGAUCAUGGGAGCUAAGAUAUGCAUCUAGGGUUCCAAACAACUCCUAUACGUAAAUGCACAAGCAUGUUACAGAAGGCAUGCGCAAGUCUGGUAAAACAACACAGAGUUUUCAUGCAACCGGGGCUUGCCUUCGAGCAAGGAGGAAAAGAACUGCUCGACUUCGGGGGCGACUUCGGCUUCUGGGGGUAGGAGCUCAGCUACACCGUCGUCUUCUGGCGUCGGGUGCAGCUCGUAGAAGCCGUCGGCGAGGCGCAGCUCUACACGAAUGCAAUGUAUUAGUUAGCAUAGACGGUUAUUUCAAUAGCAACACUUGCAAGUCUGAGCCCAGAAACUUGCGACAAAGAGCAGGAGGGUGGGCAGGUUCAAGGGAGCUGGUGGAGAUCAAAGGUAAGGGUUGGGAAGAAACUUAUGAUCUGAUCCUUAAACUAGAGGAUGUGGUAUACUAGGGAUCCUCAGACGCAAGCGCUGAAGGGUUCCUAAGUUUUGCACAUACACCCUCGGUUGAAGAAAAGAUCACAGCAGAGCCCUCGAGUGAGGCGGAUAGGGGUCGGCGGAACAAAUAGGGUCGGGCGAGACGGAACCGGGGUCGGGCGGAUAAGAGGGGUCGGGCAAAGCGGACUGGGGUCGGCAGCUUACCUUCUUCCUACAAGGAAAGCUUGGGGUCGGGAAGAAACAGACUUGGGCGGAGGGGCUAAGGCUUUGAAUCGGCGGCGAGGUCCGGCAGUGCUCCAGUGGCGGCGGUGCUUCUUGUGGAUCACAAGUGAGCUCUUACGGAGCACGGAGGAGCAAGCAGCUGGGUGGCUUAGGGAAAACGGAGUGGAGCAGAGAGGAGAGUUCCUCAAGAACUUAGCGGGUGGCGCUAGGAGCUUGAGUAGGGAGCAAGAGAAAUGGCGGAAGGCAGCAAUGGCGGAGGGAACUCCGGCGGGGCUCGUGCAUUCCCUUUUAUAGCGGCCGGGAAGGGAGAAAGGAAGCGGCGCGGGAGAGAGAAGGGGAGCGGCGCGAAGGCCGGGGAAGAAGCAAUGGAUUGCUCUGCCGGGGCGGCAAUUGAGCGACGAGGGCGGUGGUGCAGGACUUCGGGGAUGACGUCAGCGGUCAUUGGGCUCUGGUGUCAGGGCGGCGUAGGAGCGGGUAUGCCGGUGGUUGAGAUUUGGUGGAGGCGGACGUCGUCGUGCGGUAGAUUUGAUGGAAGUGACCGGGUUAACGACGCUAGAAUCGAGGGCGCACAGGUGAGAAGACAGGCAGCCGCGGGCGCGCGGGCGAGUGCGGAGCAACAGAUUGUCCGGUGGCUUCUAACAGGGCGGGGAAAGGAGCUGUCGCGGCCGUGGUCAGGGUUGGCGGAGGAGGGAUCGUCGGGUAGCGAAGACCAGGCGGCGCGACUGUGUUCGAAGUGACGGAAAAGACGGGUGACAUCGGGCUCUGCGGCCGGGAUCUGGUGAUGUGAUGAUGGGCGCGGGAGGCGAGGCGUUGCAGAAAGGUCGCAGAGGGGUUUCCGCUACCAUUGGGGAAGGGGGCGCGAGAAUCCAUUCGGUCGCGGGCCAGAGAUGAGGCUGAGCGGCGGGCGUCGGAGAAGAUGAGCCACGCGGCGGGGAGACUCUGAAGCGGGCAUGCAACUCGAGUGCGCCUGUCGCGGAAGAUCUGGGGGAAAAAGAUCUCGCGGGUCCACCGGUCAGAUAGAACGGACGUUUUGGGAGGACUUAGAAGGAUCCAACGGUGAGCUGGGUUUGGCGGGGUCGGAACCGGAGCAAAGCGGGGAGGGGUCGGGUCUCAGGGGUCAGGACCGGUCGGAAGGUUGAACACUUAGGCGCAGAAAACUCGACAGUGCUCAGGGGCUAGGAUUUGGAUUAACUUGGAAGAUUUGGGGGCCGGUCGUCACAGCCUACCCCUCUUAAAAGGAAUCUCAUCCCGAGAUUCAGGUAUCAAGGGGGUGUGCUGUGCUUACCUCCAUGACGAGAUAGAAAACCUGGGAAGUGCUUGUUCAGAUACUCGUCUGUUUCCCAUGUUGCUUCAUCUUCGGUGUGGUUUCUCCAGAGGAUCUUGUACAUUUUGACCAUUUGGCGCCGGGUACACCUCUCUUUCUGGUCAAGAACUCGGUCUGGGUACUCAGCGUAGGUUAGGUCGGGCUCAACCUGAAGCUGCUCUUGCUCUAAGAUCUCGGUUGGAACUUGGACACAUUUCUUCAGUUGAGACACAUGGAAAACAUCGUGUAUGGCCGAUAGCUGUUCUGGGAGUUGGAUCCGGUAAGCAACGGGUCCACAAAUCUCCACAAUCUCAUAAGGGCCAAUGUAGCGGGGAGCCAACUUGCCUUUCACUCCAAACCGUUGUACUCCUUUGGUCGGGGAGACUCGAAGAUACACCUGGUCACCAAGGUCAAACUGUAGGGGCCUUCUUCGCCUGUCGGAAUAAUUCUUUUGUCGAGAUUGGGCAGCCUUGAGAUUUGCUUGGAUUACCCUUACCUACUCUUCGGCUUCUGCCACUAAGUCAGGGCCAUAGAUCUGUCUUUCUCCUGCUUGGGACCAGUUCAAGGGUGUCCGACAUCUCCGGCCAUACAGGGCUUCAAACGGUGCCAUCUUCAAACUGGCCUGAUAGCUGUUGUUGUAGGAGAACUCUGCCAAGGGCAGGCACUUGUCCCAAUUCUUGUCAUAAUGGAUGACACAAGCUCUCAACAUGUCUUCAAGGAUUUGAUUGACUCUUUCGGUUUGACCAUCAGUUUGAGGAUGAUAUGUUGAGCUACGGAUGAGCUUGGUGCCCAUGGAUGCUUGUGACUGUUCCCAAAAGCGUGCCACGAACUGAACUCCUCGAUCAGAGAUGAUGGUCUUGGGUACACCGUGUAGGGAAACUAUGCGGUCGAGGUACAACUCUGCAUACUGCUUGACUGUGUGGGUGGUGCGGACUGGAAGGAAGUGGGCGGUCUUGGUCAGGCGGUCCACUAUAACCUAGAUGGAAUCAUAUCGCUGUGAGGUAAGGGGCAGUCCAACUAUGAAGUCCAUGCUGAUGUCUUCCCAUUUCCAAGAGGGAAUAGGUAGGGGUUGCAGGGUACCCGCUAUCUUUAGAUGGCUGGCUUUGACACGCUGACAGGUGUCACAUUUUGAAACAUACCGGGCAAUUUCCGGCUUCAUUCUACUCCACCAAAAGGUUUGACGGAGAUCAUGGUACAUCUUAUUGCUGCCAGGAUGGAUAGAGAGCUUGGAGAGAUGAGCUUCGUCUAGGAUCUGUUUCUUAAUGUCGGGGUCGGCUGGUACAACCAGUCGAUCUCCAUAAUAUACGCCUCCAGUUUCGUCCUGCCGGAAUUGCUUAUAUCCUUCAUCCUUUAAUGAGAUCUUCUUGAUGAUCCGCUUUAUUUCCUCAUCCUCCACUUGUGUUGACCGUAUUUGGUCUUCCAAAACUGAGUCAAGGGUGAUGUGGCCAAGGGUUCCAUGGGGAAUAAUUUCCAAACUGAGUUUUCCCAUCUCAUGACACAGAGUCUUGGUGAAAGCUGUUACCAACAAGCAGUUGCAAUGGUUCUUGCGACUAAGAGCAUCGGCCACCACAUUAGCUUUGCCGGGAUGAUAGUGAACUUCCAAGUCAUAGUCUUUUAUCAACUCCAACCAUCUUCUUUGGCGCAUGUUGAGGUCGGCUUGAGUGAAGAUGUACUUGAGGCUCUUGUGGUCGGUAUAGAUGUUGCAGUGGGUGCCCAUCAGGUAGUGUCUCCAUAUCUUUAAGGCAUGUAUCACUGCUGCUAGCUCAAGGUCGUGGGUUGGGUAGUUCAGCUCAUGAGGUCGUAAUGCUCGUGAGGCAUAGGCAAUGACUCGGUUGUCUUGCAUAAGAACACACCCAAGUCCAGUGCCAGAGGCGUCACAGUACACGUCAAACGACCUAGAGGGGUCAGGUUGAGCCAAAACUGGGGCUGUGGUCGGCAGGUGCUUCAGGGUCUUGAAGGCUUCUUCACACUUGUCGUUCCACGCGAACCUGACCUCUUUCUUCAACAACUCAGUCAUGGGCUUAGCUAUCUUAGAGAAAUCUGGUAUGAAGCGCCGAUAGUAGCCUGCCAAUCCAAGGAAACUCCUGAUCUGGUGCACUGAGGCGGGAGGCUUCCAUUCUAUAACUUCCCGUACCUUACUAGGGUCGACGGCUAUACCAUCCUUGGAGAUAGUGUGUCCCAAAAACUUGACGCUAUCUAACCAAAACUCACACUUGGAGAACUUGGCAUAAAGUUGGUGAUCUCUCAGCCGUUGGAGAACUACAUGAAGAUGAUCGGCAUGUUCUUCUUCGCUCUUUGAGUAUACGAGGAUAUCAUCAAUGAACACCACCACAAACUUGUCCAGUUCGGGCAUGAACACCGAGUUCAUGAGGUACAUGAAAUAGGCGGGUGCAUUGGUGAGUCCAAAGGACAUGACCAGGUACUCGUAUAGUCCAUAUCUGGUAGAGAAGGCUGUCUUGGGUACGUCGCAUGGUCGGAUCUUGAUUUGGUGAUAACCCGAACGAAGAUCAAUCUUGGAGAACACCUUUGCUCCAGCUAACUGAUCAAACAAGACAUCAAUGCGUGGCAGUGGGUACUUGUUCUUGACGGUCACAGCAUUGAGGGGUCGGUAGUCCACACACAUGCGUAGACUGCCAUCCUUCUUCUUCACAAACAGGGCAGGGCAACCCCAAGGUGAUGUGCUGGGUCGGAUGAAGCCUUUUUCCAACAGAUCAUGCAACUGGGUCUUCAACUCGGCCAACUCAGCAGGUGGCAUCCGAUAAGGUCUCUUGGAUAUCGGUGUGGUGCCAGGGAUCAACUCGAUGGAAAACUCCACCUCUCUAUCAGGUGGCAUGCCAGGCAAGUCUUCGGGGAACACGUCAGGGUACUCACAGACAACAGGGAGGUUUUCUAGACGGGCUCCCGACAAAGGGUACACACAAGGAAGUGCAGACUUAGAAUGUUUCAAGGAUAGGGUAGGUAGAACUGCCAUGGAAGGGUGAGUUGAUGUAGAGAGUUCGGGCGGCUGUGUCUAGAACCACUUCAUGUCGGGCCAUCCAAUCCAUACCGAGAAUGACAUCUAUGCCUUCUAGGUCAAGGAGGAUAAGGUUUUCCUUGAAAAGGGUUGGGCCUAGCUGGAGAGGUACAAGGGUAACGAUCUGAUCCGAUGCUAUCUUUCCUCCCGGAGUGGUGAUCACAUAAGGUUCCUUAGUGUGACCGACAUCCAGCUCAUAUCUUUCUCUAGCCUUACUCCCGAUAAAGCUAUGAGAGGCUCCCGAAUCAAACAACACAACAACAGCUUGAUGUAAAACAAGGAAAGUACCCGUCAUUACUGGCGCACCUUCGGGGAGCUCGGUCAAGCUGGUGUAGUUGAGUCUGCCUUGUCGGACUUGCACCUUGGGCCUUCUGCCUCUAUUUGCCAUGGGGUUCUGACUUUGCUGCUGAUUCUUGUUCCGGGGGCAGUCCUUAGCAAAAUGCCCUUCAUUGCCGCAGGUGAAACAGCGGCUACUAGCUGCAGGGCGGGGUGGUGCUGGUGGAGUCAGCCGAGGCACCUGUGGUUAGAAGCCGGGAGAACGGGGCGCUGCUGCUGGUGGGGGUCGGGCAAUCCACCUUCCCGACUGCUGGGGUCGGCCGGGGGCUUGUGGAGGAACCAUCCGGAACCUUCGGGUUGGCUGGCUCGGAAAUGCCACGGAGGCCUUCCUCUUCUGGUCGGCUUUGAGAGCCUGCAUGCAAUCCUCUUGAGAGAUGGCCAGAUUGACCAACUUGUUGUAGGUGUCCACCUUGAUGGGGUUCAACCUUUCCCUGAGCUCCAAGCUUAGUCCUCGGCGGAAUCUGUCCCGCUUCUUCUCGUCGGUGUUCGCGUGAUAGCCGGCAUAACGGCACAAGUCGUUGAAAGCUUGGGCGUAGUGCAGCACAUCUCGGGUUCCCUGGGUAAGGGCCAAGAACUCGUUGAGCUUGCGCUCCAGGAGGCCUUCCGGGAUGUGAUGCGCUUUAAACGCGGUCUUGAACUCGUUCCAGCUGACCACAUGGUCAGCCGGCAGCAUGGCAUGGUAGUGGUCCCACCAGAGCCGUGCGGAGCCACGCAGCUGUUGGGCUGCGAACCGGGCCUUAUUAUGGUCGGGGCACGGGGCGGUGAGAAGCUCGAACUUGGAUUCGAUCGUACGAACCCAGGCGUCAGCAUCGAGCGGUUCUUGUGUCUUCUGAAACAAAAGGGGCUGUGUCCCCACAAAGUCCUCAUAGCGAGCCACAUGCGGCUGCUGCUGAGCCCUUCCACCAUGGGGCUGCUGCUGUUGUCCUUGUACAAGAUGCCUUAGCAGCUCGGUUUGAGUUGCUAGGAUUGCCUCUAGUGGAGAUGAGGGCGGGGGCGAGGGAAGAUCCUGUCGCUGUUCGCUGCUGCCGGGCACAGAACCAGAUCUGGUGCGAUGCGCCAUCUGCAAGAGUUAGCGUUCCAUUAAAUUCCAAAACUUAGAAGUACUCCAAUAGAUGGAACGCAUGAGUUAAAUUAUCCAAUGCAACUCUUGCUGAUAACGCAACACACGUCCCCAUAGGGAAGAUACACUCCUUUCAUCCUCAUGUUAGCUAGCGUUUAUCUUAGCCUUGUACUCAACUUCGGGCGAAUCAUACCCUACCCAGACUCCUAUAAUCCAACUUAAGCCACGGGGUCAGGCGAGGCGAUCCUCCCAAGAAAAAGGGUCAGCAACGAUCCACACUAAGAAGGGGUCGGACGAGGCGGAGACUGCCUCGAGGGGUCGGCGCAUCCGAUCUCGCAUACCGGGGUUAGCCAACUUGAACAGACCCUCAGAAAAAACAGCGUGUGUGGUCGUGGCUCAACUCACUUAGUCUAACAUUCCAACACUUUGCAAGAGUUAGAGGUCAGACUCAGGAAUUGACUUCAUAUACAGCGGUGUUCCAACACAGGGAAUACUCGACUCAAGGCUAACCUAUUACAAUCCUUUCCAAAAUUUAGGCUGCCGAGUAGUACAACAAGAGAAUGAGUCCCUGGUAACUCUUAAUCUACAAAUGGACACUAUGAGUAGGAGAAGGGGCGCCGUCUUCUUCGAUAUCCAUGCUGGACGCUUCCUCAUCCUCCUCGGGGUCCUCUUGAGCUUCGAGAUGCAUAUGGAGGGCAUGCAUAUCGUCGAGCUCAGCUUGAUGCUCCUCCAAGUGAGCAUUGGCAACCGCCAGCUCCAUCUCUAUUUCCAUCUUCUCCUCUGACAGCUCGAUCAUGCCGUCCACUAGGUCAGCUACUUCGCCUUCGAGCUCGGAGAUCCGGUCUUGCAUGUCGUGUAUCUGAAUGCCUCUUUGGAGAAGCUGGUAGGUUUGGCCUACCAGGUCUCUUCUGGCUGACUGGAGGUAUCCGUGAGCAUCCGCUGCGGUCCGGGCAAAGAUGGUCAUGGCUCUUCCUUGAAGCUCGAUCAGCCGAUAGAGGGCUGUCAUGCAUCUGACGUUGGUGGAGAUGGUGACCAUGGAGUACGUGGUGGCUAGCACCUCAAUAUUUCCGACGCGGUCGAGCCACGCCGGAUCCAACUGGUUCCUGGCGGGGAACAGGCCGAUAGGGUCUAGCAUGACCUCCAGGGGAUGCAGCUGAUAGAACUGGGUGAGAAGCUGAAGAGCGGCGGACUCCCAAGUGUCCUCCGGAGCAAGGCCAUAUGCUGAUAUUCCGAAGGAGGGCAAGUCGGGCCGCACAGGAGGAGGAGGUACCACCGCCUGUACAUUGCACGUCUGGAUGCCCUGCUCCAAAUACAGUCGUCCGGCGUACAAUGGUGGGGACUGGUACCCGAACCAUUUCAACGUGUCCCACAAAAUCGCGGGGAAACCCUCGAAAUGCAGACAGGUUGACUGGAAAGUACCAUCCGCUCCAAACAAAACAUGCCCGGGGACGACCAUCUGGAACCAAGAACCAAAACCACGUGAGAUAGACUCCAAGGGUCAGGGGUCGGAUAGAGAAGCAUUCGGCUUUAACCGAGAACAACUGAAGAAACUAGAAAUCCUUAGAACCGAAAAAGAGCUCUUCCGAGCAAGGUUGCUUUUGAGAAGAGUACUUUACAGAUUUCUGCUUAUGACACAUGCACGGCCUACCUUACUCUUAACCAAAACAACUGCCCGAAACCUGGGUCUUACGUGGUCAGUGCUGGUGGCAAGGCAACAAGUACGUCUCUCCCUAUAAUAGCUAGUCGAUUCUAGCAACGUCUCUUAAGCGAACGCGGUUAGUGUACCUGCAGAAAACACCAACACACGAACCUUUCGUGCCAGCACCCACGAAAGCGUUCCCAAACAUUACCGCUCACUAUAGGAAUGGCACCCAUGCGUUUAAGGCUGCAUGGACAACACUCAACCGUGGAGAUAGGUUCCCUUUGAAUGGAACCGUAUAACCCUUCGUAUACUCGUGAUGUGGAAUCAGCACACGUAUGAUAGACGUGGCGAAUCAACCGUGCUGAUAGGUUCGUUGGAAUCGAACCAUACCAACCUUCGUAUGGAUUACAUAUGGAACCUGCGCACGUGUGAUAGACGUGGGCGAAAACAACCACGAUGAUAGGGUCCCUUGAAUAGAACUCCCUAUCAACCUUCGCACACUCGUGAUGCGGAACUCGGCACACGUAUGACAAACGUGGCGAAGUGCCGGAAGGGUUAGCAAGAUAACCAAAUAAAAUAUUAGCCACCUAAAACAACCCAAAAUCCCCUAGGGCCUCUCGCACUAAAGUCAUCCUUAACGGUCAUACGAGAUUUUUUUCAAAAAGUUUCUUGCAACUUUUAUCUUUUCAAGAAGUGUUAGGGCUUGUUGUGUUCUCUGUACUGCUAAACCGGCUCUGGUACCAGCUGUGGCAGAUCCACUUCGGAUCUACUUGGUUAAACAUGAUUUAGCCGCCUGAUACGCGACGCUCAUGCCUAAGCCGAGUAAGCACGAAGUGCCGUCGGAUUUCCUCCGAUUUAACCACUUAAACAGGACCAUUUUAGCAGACCCACACGAAGGUGAGCGGUUCCAGAGAGUACAACGAGUCCACCGAGUUAAUAACUUAACCACUUAGUUUGAUUAUGAAAUAAACAUCAGAGUUUACAAGCUUUUCAGAAGGCAACGGAAAGUAAAACCACUAGCGGAAGCAACGUUGGGGUCGGACAUCCCUAGCGAGGCCAGCCGGAACAUCAUUGAUCCCUCUCCUCACCGUCCGAGGAGGGAUCCCACUCGACCGUCCAACCCGGAGGGAGCUGGGGUGGCCAAGUGCCAGCAGGAGAAGGGUCGGGAGCAGCAACAACACCUGAAAAACAGGAGCCACAACAAGGCUGAGCUACUAAGCUCAACAAGACUUAACCGACAGGAGUAAGGCUACUCCACACUUCUAGACAUGCAAGGCUUUAUGGCUGAGGGGUUUGUUUGCCAAAAGCACUAAGUAAAACCCUAUUUUCAAGUUUUAGCUCCGGUUCUAAGUUCAUUAACCGGUCUAGGUUUUGCACCCUAUUCUAAGCAAUCAUAGAACCAAAACAAGGUAUGUAUAUAUGUCAACAAAACCAUGUCAUCAUCAGAUUCCUCAUUUACUCAGGGUGACAUAGCGAUCAAGCAGUCUCAAACUGUGAGAGGCAGACGAAUCGAUUCGAGUUCUUUAACCAUGCAUGGUGAACCUAACCUCACGACAUCCGCGCACCCAGAGGUCGCUUCCUGUGUCGGCCUUCCCCAUCAAUCCCCUAACCCGUGUCGGGCCCAUUUACUUUGGUGCAAGGUUUCACAGACCCGGCCUCUACCGUUCUGUGACCACGCUUGCCACCACGUGCGACAACCAGCAGGGGAAACUCCGUUCCAAGAACAAUGGGGCGACCGCUCACGUCUAGGUUCAAUCCGGUACUAGGCUUCCUCAUCCCAUACUAAGUAUGAAGUUUGCCCCUAAUGCCGGGAAAUGGUCCUCAUUAAUAUAUGCAGUCGACGUAUCGGGUCGCGAAUAAGUCCCCUGUAAGAGGCUCGAGGUAUUUGAUAAUUGAUGGAGAUUGAUAUCCCACAUAGAUACCAAGUUUCCUAUGUGGGCCCAUAGAAGUACGCUUAGGCAAUGAGAUCGGUACGUAUACAACGCAACCGAAUUUUCACAGAUAGGAAAUAUUUGGCAUAUUCCCACGUACUAAUUGCAAUGGGGACUGCAUGAUACGCAGUUGGUCGCAAUUGUAUUAAGUCAGCAGCGUGUAAGACUGCAUGACCCCAACUUGAGGUUGGUAGGUUGCAAUUUUGUAAUAACAGUCGUGCAAUGGGUUUAAUUCUUUUAAUAAGAGAUUUUGCUAAACCAUUUUGUGUAUGGACAUAUGGGACAGAGUGCUGAACUUGAAUUCCCAAAGCCAUACAAUAAUCGUUGAAAGCUUUUGAGGAAAAUUCAGCAGCAUUGUCCAUUCGAAUUGAUUGAAUUUGAUGUUCAGGAUUAUGUGCUCUAAGUCUAAUAACUUGAGCAAUAAUUUUUGCAAAUGCAUGGUUACGAGUGGAUAAAAGACACACAUGAGACCAUCUAGUAGAUGCAUCUAUUAGAACCAUGAAGUACCUGCACGGUCCAGACAGUGGUUGUAUAGGGCCACAAAUAUCUCCUUGAAUACGUUCAAGAAAUUUUAGUGGCUCAUUUGAAUCUUAGCGGUCGAUGGCUGUACGAUCAAUUUUCCUGUAGCGCAUGAAGUGCACAUAAAAUCUGAAGAUUUAGGGAAUUUAGCAGUAUUUAACUCAUGACCAUUAGAAUUGCUGAUAAUUUUUUGCAUCAUCCCCAUACUAGGAUGGCCAAGGCGAUCAUGCCAAGUUUUGAAUGCGUCAAUAUUCGGAAAAAUUACCUUAUGCGCAACAUGUGGUACGGGUUUAAUGUAUGUAUAGUACAAUCCGGAUGAAAAAGAGGGAUUUUUUUCAAUAAUUUGUUUGCUAUAUCCGCUAUUUUUAGUAAUGAGGAGAAUUUCCUCAUUAUUGUCAUCACAUGUUUCUAUAUGAAAACCAUUUUGACGGAUAUCUCUAUAACUUAACAAGUUACGCUUUGAGUCAGGAUAGAAUAAUGCAUCCUCAAUUGUAAUUUGGGUACCCAUGGGGAGUACAACAGUGGCACUAUCAGAGCCAAUUAUUGUAGCAUCGCGUCCUGCGACUGUCAAAACAUUUCCUUGUCUUUUUGUAAGAGUUUGGAAAUACUUUGUUUCUCUAAGUAUAGAAUUAGUGGUACCACUAUCCACGAGGCAUAAUUCCUCCUCCAUCAGAUUGACCCCCAUAGGAACGUGGGUUGUUUAGGAGCAUUCGCAUGUUAGUUGUUCUCUAUUCACGAGCGCGUUGAUAACGUGUUGAAUGUGAAUGUAAAAUGAACAGAGAUUUGGGAACUCCUUUGUGUUUAUUGAUCUCUUUGGAUUAUAUACAAGUGAACAGCCGCGUUGUAUGGACGUGACUGUUCGGGAAAAGGUAACUGUUCAAUGGAACAAUCUACUAACGAAGGGACAUGUCCUUCGUAGUGCUAACUGCUUAUACUAACUAACUGCUAAUUCUCUUCCUCUGUUGAUGAGAUCACUGAGUAUAGAGAGGUGUCUGUUAGGAACAGACACACCGUUUCGUAACACAAACCAUGUUGGCGGAUGAUUGCCCGCUGAAGCCGCUAUAAGAAGACAAAUGACCAUAAUCACAUAAAUAAUCAAAAUACAUAAAAGAAAAUAGAGAAGGAAGAAAAUUGCAGCAUAUUCAGUUACAAAUAUAGACAAUGUUAUAAAUCUUGAAGUCUCAAUGACACGAAUUAUUACAAAUUAGUUCCAUCCACCAUGUUAUCCAGAAGAGGUCAAAUUAAACUACUACUAGGAAUGUCAAUUUACGACAAUACUGAAUUGCUGAAGCUAUCUGACAGAAAUGUCAUCUCCUUCAGUUGCGUCAAGAUGUGCUCCAUAUACUCCCGCUGCCAGUUAGACUCACGAUAUCUGGAACUUCUUCCCAUGCCCAUAAGUUCGAAUGCAUUCCAUAGAAACAAUCUCAUCAACCACCAUGAACCUUAUAUGUUCGAUCAAAGCCACUCGUGAACUGGUAAAUAAUCUGCAUAUGUCCUAAAUUUGUGCAGCUAUUUUUUGCCAAUGGUUAGGUAAAAGUUAGAAUUCAAGCAGCUAUCAGUGUGCAUCUGAAAGUUAGCUGGCAGUAGAUGUUGACUCGAUGCAAGUUUACCAUCUGGAUGUCAACUGAGACCUUGCCAUGGAAUUGACAGGCUUGGGAUGUGCAAAUGAACCAGAAGCUCAAAGAUGAAAUUUUCAGUCAAGAACUCAAGAUACUAUCAUCACAUUAUGCAACUACAAACUAUGGAGCUGCAACUUAUCACUACAAUAGAAAAGGCACUGAAUAGAAGGUCCUGUGUAACAAGAUAAAAUUGACUGAUCUUGCAACUACACACAAGAUGCCGAAUGAGAACAGAUACACGAGAACAGAAAGACUUUUGGAACAUCUUCUUUGACAAAAAUUAAUUUCUGGAACAUUCAACAAACACUUGACAUUGCCAUUUGCCAAUGUAACUCUUAGCUCUGAUAUCACAUAUUCUUAUUAAAAUUUGCUUAAGAUGUACUCCCUCCGUCCCAAAAAGAAUGAUUUUCGGGGAUUUUUCAGAUAGAUUAGGGGUGAAUGAAAAAGACGCAUGCACCCUUUGUUAGUUCAGUUUGCAUAUAGAAAAUGGAGAAAAUAUUUUUCCAUUUAAUGGUGCAUGUACCAUAUCAAUGCCACAAAUUAUGCAUGCAUAAGAUUCAAAUCCUAGAACGUCAUUCUUUUUGACAAUUUUUGAAUACUAAAACAUCAUUCUUUUUGGGACGGAGGGAAUAGUCGGUUAAAAAAGCAAGAUCCUGAAUCUUCAAAGUCAAUGGCAGAUUGGCAGUGUGGUAGUACUUAUUUCAACCAACCAAACAUCUCAAUCAAUCAAGAAAUCAUAAUGACAAGAUACCACCAUAACAAUAUAUAGGAAUUAUGCAUCAAGAAUUCUUACAACAACAACAUAGCCUUUCAGUUCCAAGCAAGUUGGGGUAGGCUAGAGUUGAAACCCAACAAGAGUCACAAAUCAGGGUUUGAGCACAUGAAUAGCUGUUUUCCAAGCACUCCUAUCUAGGGCUAAAUCUUUGGGUAUAUUCUAUCCCUUCAAAUCUCCUUUUAUUGCUUCUUCCCAUGUCAAUUUUGGUCUUCCUCGCCUCUCUUCACAUUACUAUCACGCCUUAGGGUUCCACUACACACUAGUGCCUCCGGAGACCUAUGUUGGACAUGUCCAAACCUUCUCAGCCGGUGUUGGAUAAGUUUUUCUUCAAUUGGUGCUACCCUUAAUCUAUCACAUAUAUCCUCGUUCCGGACUCGAUCCCUUCUCGUAUGACCACAAAUUCAACACAACAUACGUAUUUUCGCAAUAUUUAUCUAUUGGACACAUCAUCUUUUUGUAGGCCAACAUUAUGCACCAUACAACAUUGCAGGUCUAAUCAUCUUCAUAUAAAACUUGCCUUUUAGCUUCAAUGGUACCCUCUUGUCAUAUAAAAUUAUCCGAUAUGGUGUCGCUAAGAGGGUUACACCCCAACGGAUUUCUCUUGGGUUUCAUCUCCAUUAGAAUGGCUAGGUUAAACGUUGGCUCGCCAAGCCUAUCAUAACCCUCCUCCUUUACCAGGGCUUAGGACCUGCUAUGUUGAGACAACAUAGGCGGAGUUGCAGCAAGAAUUCUUACUGGUAAGAAAAAUUAAGGCACCAUACCUAAAUACUAUGAAUUACAUGCUAACACAAACAAUGUCCGCAGGUUAGAAUUGUAAGUUAGAAUUAACAAUGAAACAUAAAUAGUUGUAAGAUUAGAUUAAGCAAGGACGCAUUCCGCAGGUUGAAAAGAGCAAGCAAGCACGCAUGUGAAAACUGGAACUGAAAGAGGCAGGUGGGAGCGUUACGGCCCAAACAUUAGUGAUGCAGUCCUUCAUGUCGCUGCGGCGGCAGUCCCAGCAGAGCUCCUCGAUGGCCAGGAGCCGGCAACAGAGGUCGGCCAUGUUACACAAUCGCACUCCAUCAGGAAGACGCACUCGCGGAGGGUUUCUUCUCCUCCAGCAUCACUGUGCGCCUUCUUGUCCUCCUCGUCAUCCUCGCCUGGGGCUGGCAGCUGGACCAUCUAGAUGUGGUUGAUGUCAUGAUCCAGGCAGCGCUCCACCUCAACGUUCUCCUCCAUGUUGCAUUGUUGCUAUCACCGGAGCCGGAGUCAUCCUCGCUGGCGGCGCCCUCAGCGUCGGCUCGGAGGUGGUGUGGCGGAUCCACUUCGGAUCUACUUGGUUAAACAUGAUUUAGCCGCCUGAUACGCGACGCUCAUGCCUAAGCCGAGUAAGCACGAAGUGCCGUCGGAUUUCCUCCGAUUUAACCACUUAAACAGGACCAUUUUAGCAUACCCACACGAAGGUGAGCGGUUCCAGAGAGUACAACGAGUCCACCGAGUUAAUAACUUAACCACUUAGUUUGAUUAUGAAAUAAACAUCAGAGUUUACAAGGUUUUCAGAAGGCAACGGAGAGUAAAACCACUAGUGGAAGCAACGUCGGGGUCGGACAUCCCUGGCGAGGCCAGCCGGAACAUCACUGAUCCCUCUCCUCGCCGUUCGAGGAGGGAUCCCACUCGACCGUCCAACCCGGAGGGUGCUGGGGCGGCCAAGUGCCAGCAGGAGAAGGGUCGGGAGCAGCAACAACACCUGAAAAACAGGAGCCACAACAAGGCUGAGCUACUAAGCUCAACAAGACUUAACCGACAGGAGUAAGGCUACUCCACACUUCUAGACAUGCAAGGCUUUAUGGCUGAGGGGUUUGUUUGCCAAAAGCACUAAGUAAAACCCUAUUUUCAAGUUUUAGCUCCGGUUCUAAGUUCAUUAACCGGUCUAGGUUUUGCACCCUAUUCUAAGCAAUCAUAGAACCAAAACAAGGUAUGUAUAUAUGUCAACAAAACCAUGUCAUCAUCAGAUUCCUCAUUUACUCAGGGUGACAUAGCGAUCAAGCAGUCUCAAACUGUGAGAGGCAGACGAAUCGAUUCGAGUUCUUUAACCAUGCAUGGUGAACCUAACCUCACGACAUCCGCGCACCCAGAGGUCGCUUCCUGUGUCGGCCUUCCCCAUCAAUCCCCUAACCCGUGUCGGGCCCAUUUACUUUGGUGCAAGGUUUCACAGACCCGGCCUCUACCGUUCUGUGACCACGCUUGCCACCACGUGCGACAACCAGCAGGGGAAACUCCGUUCCAAGAACAAUGGGGCGACCGCUCACGUCUAGGUUCAAUCCGGUACUAGGCUUCCUCAUCCCAUACUAAGUAUGAGGUUAGUACUUUCAAACACUUGAUCACGAACACCACCACUGUCGGGCCUUAGCAAGUUUUCAUAGACAGACGGGGCGAUCAUCCGACCACCAAAGAGUUACCCAAACCCUGCCCCGUCCAUCAUCCUUACAGUUGUAACAGAAAGGUAGACAUCCAACUCCUACAACUCGCGAGUGACAGGGAAUCACUCGGCUUUUACCGUCUCCUAGUUAAGCAAGCAAGCAGCUACCCGGUCCAACAGCUAGUGUUCAGAUCAUGGGAGCUAAGAUAUGCAUCUAGGGUUCCAAACAACUCCUAUACGUAAAUGCACAAGCAUGUUACAGAAGGCAUGCGCAAGUCUGGUAAAACAACACAGAGUUUUCAUGCAACCGGGGCUUGCCUUCGAGCAAGGAGGAAAAGAACUGCUCGACUUCGGGGGCGACUUCGGCUUCUGGGGGUAGGAGCUCAGCUACACCGUCGUCUUCUGGCGUCGGGUGCAGCUCGUAGAAGCCGUCGGCGAGGCGCAGCUCUACACGAAUGCAAUGUAUUAGUUAGCUUAGACGGUUAUUUCAACAGCAACACUUGCAAGUCUGAGCCCAGAAACUCGCGACAAAGAGCAGGAGGGUGGGGAGGUUCAAGGGAGCUGGUGGAGAUCAAAGGUAAGGGUUGGGAAGAAACUUAUGAUCUGAUCCUUAAACUAGAGGAUGUGGUAUACUUGGGAUCCUCAGAUGCAAGCGCUGAAGGGUUCCUAAGUUUUGCACAUACACCCUCGGUUGAAGAAAAGAUCACAGCCGAGCCCUCGGGCGAGGCGGAUAGGGGUCGGCAGAACAGAUAGGGUCGGGCGAGACGGAACCGGGGUCGGGCGGAUAAGAGGGGUCGGGCAAAGCGGACUGGGGUCGGCAGCUUACCUUCUUCCUACAAGGAAAGCUUGGGGUCGGGAAGAAACAGACUUGGGCGGAGGGGCUAAGGCUUUGAAUCGGCGGCGAGGUCCGGCAGUGCUCCGGCGGUGGCGGUGCUUCUUGUGGAUCACAAGUGAGCUCUUACGCAGCACGGAGGAGCAAGCAGCUGGGUGGCUCGGGGAAAACGGAGUGGAGCGGAGAGGAGAGUUCCUCAAGAACUUAGCGGGUGGCGCUAGGAGCUUGAGCAGGGAGCAAGAGAAAUGGCGAAAGGCAGCAAUGGCGGAGGGAACUCCGGCGGGGCUCGUGCAUUCCCUUUUAUAGCGGCCGAGAAGGGAGAAAGGAAGCGGCGCGGGAGAGAGAAGGGGAGCGGCGCGAAGGCUGGGGAAGAAGCAAUGGAUUGCUCUGCCGGGGCGGCGAUUGAGCGACGAGGGCGGUGUUGCAGGACUUCGGGGAUGACGCCAGCGGUCAUUGGGCUCUGGCGUCAGGGCGGCGCAGGAGCGGGUAUGCCGGUGGUUGAGAUUUAGCGGAGGCGGGCGUCGUCGUGCGGUAGAUUUGAUGGAAGUGACCGGGUUAACGGUGCUAGAAUCGAGGGCGCACAGGUGAGAAGACAGGCAACCGCGGGCGCGCGGGCGAGCGCGGAGCAACAGAUUGUCGGGCGGCUUCUGACAGGGCGGGGAAAGGAGCUGUCGUGGCCGUGGUCAGGGUUGGCGGAGGAGGGAUCGUCGGGUAGCGAAGACCAGGCGGCGUGACUGUGUUCGAAGUGACGGAAAAGACGGGCGACAUCGGGCUCUGCGGCCGGGAUCUGGCGAUGUGAUGAUGGGCGCGGGAGGCGAGGCGUUGCAGAAAGGUCGCAGAGGGGUUUCCGCUGCCAUUGGGGAAGGGGGCGCGAGAAUCUAUUCGGUCGCGGGCCAGAGACGAGGCUGAGCGGCGGGCGUCGGAGAAGAUGAGCCACGCGGCGGGGAGACUCUGAAGCGGGCAUGCAACUCGAGUGCGCCUGUCGCGGAAGAUCUGGGGGAAAAAGAUCUCGCGGGUCCACCGGUCAGAUAGAACGGACGUUUUGGGAGGACUUAGAAGGAUCCGACGGUGAGCUGGGUUUGGCGGGGUCGGAACCGGAGCAAAGCGGGGAGGGGUCGGGUCUCAGGGGUCGGGACCGGUCGGAAGGUUGAACACUUAGGGGCAGAAAACUCGACAGUGCUCAGGGGCUAGGAUUUGGAUUAACUUGGAAGAUUUGGGGGCCGGUCGUCACAGGUGGGAGCCGAAGGGUAUAACGCGGAGGAGGAGAUGGGGGAGGGGAUGAGGCACGCCUGGAUCUCGUCAGAUUUGACGGCCAUGAGGGAGCACUUCUCGAGUGGUUCUUGGACUCAUCGGACUCGAUAUGUGGUGGCCGCGAAGGAGGUUGGGAUGGGCAGGAAGCGUGGCGUGGUGGUGGUGGGUGAGGUGGAGUCGUGGUGGAUGCGGCAACACGCGAGGCGGCGGCGGAAGGGAGGCGAGGCCCUCGCCUGCAAGUCUGGGAUCUACGGGCUACCUGAGUGUUUAUCCAACCCACUCUUGUAAUUAGCCUGCAACCCAUGGUUUGCAUCGCGUUACAAUCCGAUAAAACGAACCCCACUCCAAUACCUAACCAACCCACUCUAAUUGGCAGUCCAAACCAAACCUACCCAAUAACUUUUCAAUCCAUUACUCACCAAAUCAAUGCAGUUCCAUUCAAAAUCCGAUCCACUAAAACCAUUAACACCAGCCCAAUCAGCAGAGCUACUGCCAUCAAGCUAACCUGGCAAUGGGUGAUGGGGGUGUAUGACUUGCGGAAGCUAGCUAGUCAGCCCAUUAUAUCUAAUUAGCUAGCCCAUUAGGUCAAAUUAUAAAUCUAAAUCAACGUAUCAAUAAGAUAAUAUGAUAGAUUCAACAUUAUCAAAAAAUAGUCUAACAUCUAAGGUCCUAUUUGUUUGAGCUCUAUAUUUAAUACUCUAAAUUAGUAUGUAAAACAAUUGCACAGAUGAAAUCUAAUUCGCGAGACGAAUCUAUUAAACCUAAUUAAUUCAUGAUAGCACAUAUUUACUGUCAAAUCAUGGACUAAUUAGGUUUAAUACAUUCGUCUCGUGAAUUAGCCUCCAUCUGUGCAAUUGGUUUUUAAUUAGCUCAUGUUUAGUCCUCCUAAUUAGUAUCAAAAUAUUCGAUGUAACAGGGACUAAACUUUAGUUCGUGGAACCAAACACCCCCUUCAUCAAUGAUUAGUCCCUUCGAUUUUGGCAUUGUUUCUUGAUCGGGACAAGUCAUGGAACCCUUUGUUCUCUUUAAAACACUCUUGAUUUCUGUAAGGUCAAGUCAUGGAACCCUUUGUUCUCUUUAAAAUGCCUUGAUUUCUGUAAGGUCCCGUUUGUAUCCCUCCAUUUUAAAGGACUUAGAAUCUACUUAAUGAAGUAGGCUAAUUAUUUUAUAGGAAGAAGAACCGUCCCACUUUCCCUCUUGGAAGGAGCAUAGCAAUGUAGAACGUGACAUUCCACAACUUUCCAAAGUUCAGAUAUAACUCUAUCUUAAAUUCAUGGGGGUGGGAGAUGGAAAUUGAUUAUAUAGAUCCUCGUGCUAUGUUUCUAAUAUGCAACUUAUAGCACGCUCUUCAACUCGCUUCCCUAUAGCAGAAGUGCAUCACAUAAGUAUCUCUCCCGUAUGGCCAACAAUAAUAUACAAAUAUAUUCUACAUACAAUUAUAUUAGCUUAAUUAAUUUGUGUCUAAAUUAUGAUUAUUAGAAUGUAAUUCAAUUCCAAGGAUCCAAAAGGGGCGUAAGAUUAAUUUGUAUUUGAAUCUUGUGUGGCAUGGUUCCUCUAAUUUAGGAUUUGAGGAGGUAUUGAUGGUUUCUCCUUUAUCUUGAACGAACCACGCGAAGGAGCCACAGAUUAUAUUAAAACGAACUAGGCACUGGUGGUUUCCAGCAUCACCAAUUUUCAAAUUAGGCUUGAUCUAUGGAAUUUCAACUUUCCUUUUGAGGAAAUAAAUUGUAACUAGUUCGUGUUGUAUUUAAGUUCAGCAACUCUUCGGCGCAAACCUUCGGUGGUGACAUAAUUGGAUGGUUUCAAUGUUGCAAGUGCAAUUCUUGUAGAUUCUCAAAAAAGUUCUAUUCCAUGGCUAAGAAGGAAUAAAACCUCCAACAAUAUAGAAUCACGUCAUGUGAGCAGCACUGUUCCAGGAUUGCCCAUUCGACCUAAAUAUUACCUCAGUAACCCCAGCAGCAAUUUGAAGAACCCUCCAACCGUAAAGAGUUGCAGCAAUAUGUGUGAUUUCAUUUAUCAGCUGGUCAGAAGCGUUGAAAGGUCAGCUAGCUUAUAUUAACAUGGGUUUAACUAGUGCCAAAUGUUCCCUUUUGAAAGGAGAGUGUCAUGGCUACGCCAACCACAGCAUCAUGACAUCACCUGCUCCAUGUCGCGCAACCAAACCUGGUGAUGUAUAUGUUCCCCUUCCUCCCCCUAUGUGGAUCAAUGAGUGCUGCCAAUUUGAUCAAUCAGGUUUCAACACAUAAUGAGUGCCAUAGAAAUUUUGCUGGCAGCCAACUGAAUUUGAAUCCAUAGCUCAUAUAUUUGAUCAUGAAUUUUUUGUUUUGCCAAAGCAAGCAUAGGUGUUACUGAAGAGAAAAUGGAAUAUAAACCAAAUUUUCUUGUUUGCAUCAAUGCGUGUCAAUCACAAUAUUUUUGUUUCUUUUUUCCCGAUUCCCACAUUGACCUAAUUAUUAUUAGACUUUUAGGGGACAAAGGGUGAGAACUCUAGUAUCAGAGGGGGGAGGUGGUGCAGAGAUUUUGGGGAAAAAGGCUAAUGCCACAUGAAUUAGUAAGGAGAAAUCACUGUAGCAUUUUUAUCCAAUUUGAGAAUUUUUCCCUUAGGAUAGGAAUAAGGAUGUAGUGCCGGAAAGGAUGAUUUUGAAAAAAACAUAUGAAAAACGAUAAAAGAUGAGAAAUUCAUAAAAUAAUAAAAACAUUAUAGAAAUGAUAAAAAAACAUUAUAGACAUUCUUUGUAAAAGUGGAUGUUUUUUUAAAACAUUAUAACUCUACAUAUAUUCCUUUUGGUUGAAUCUUGCAUGUGUUUGUUUUUGGAAUCAAGUUGUUGAGUCAGCUCCAUCCCAUUUGGGUUGGGUUGGACCCAUAUCGUGUUUAGAUGAAAGGCAACUUAGUUUUUUUGUUUGAUUGAAGGGGUCAAGAGACGUGGGAUGGACACUAGUUUCACACCGUUAGCAACAGUUAUUAGUGGGCCUCACCUGUUAUCCGUGGGGCCAACUAGUCAGCCUCUUAUCUUCUGCCUUUUUUUUUCCUGUGACGCUUAUCUUCUUCCUCAUGUUUGCCUGCUCUGCCUCCUCACGCCGGCAUCGGAGCGCAUCCCGCCUACACCUCCGCGUUGCGCCGGCCGGCAACCCAGCUCCGUGUCCUCUCUUCCUCUUUCUCCAUGUCGCGCCGCCCGACCGCCCAGCUCCGCCUCCUCUCUCUCUUUCUCCGCGCCACCGCCAGCGGCCUCCUCGCCCCCCUACUCCGCCGCGCCCCUCAACCCCAGUGUCAACGGCCUCCUCAGCCCCUUGCUCCGCUGCCCCUCCUCGACCUAGUGCCGCCGGCCUCCCCCCCUACUCCGCCGCCUUCCCUCGGCCCAGCGCCGAUAGGCGGAGCCCAAGCUGGCCCUGACCAGCCGACGAAGGUCCCCUAUGCGGAGCCUAAGCUUGCCUCGACCUCCUCCGAGCUGUCUCUACUUGCUCGAUUUGUUGGUGACGGAGGAAACAACGAAGAUGACGGAGAUAAAGUGGGUCGGAGUGGUCUGACUGAUUUGGAGGAAUGCAACCUGAUUUGAAGGAAUGCAACCAACCCGUAUCUGGGAGAAUAUUCACUCCAGGGUCCAUCCCAACCUAGAUGAAUUUCAAACCAAACACUCAUAUAUCUGGAUCCAACCUAUUCCAACCCACUUCGACCCUUAAACCAAACACACCCUUAAUCUAUCUCAUCACACGCCUCCUUUUUUUUUAAAAAAAAAGGAUCAUCUUUAGCUUUCAUGGUAGCGUUAGUACAAGCAUUGUACUAAUGGUUGUUAGUUGUCGAGCAAGCCUUUCAUUUGAUGACUAUCACUACUCAUGAUUUUGUACAUAAUUAUAAAUUUUGACCUAUAAACCACUUGCAUUUGAAUCCAUAUGAGUAGGAGCGAAAAUGAGAUACACAACAUCAUACUUGGAAUAAUGGACAAGAAAUAGACAAAAAGGUGAAAAAUAAUGUGGAGGUAGCUGUUCCAGCAUAGCAAAAAUCGCAUUGAUUCCUUAGACAUGGAUCCUGCAAGCUAAAUUCUUUUCUAUGAUACUAAGACAAGUGACAACUGUGUAGCUUAAAAAAGAUUGUCUGAUAUGUGUUUUUAAAUAUUGCUUAAUCUAGUUGUUGGAUUACGAUUUUAUUUAGAAACUACUCCGUACCCAUAUAAUUUGAUGGGAAAUUACCUGUCAUCGGCCCAAAAUAGUUGAACGCAUUGUUGACCUUUUGACACCUAAACCCUAUAAUCCAACCUACUUAGAAUCCAAAUUGACAAAUAGUCAAACAGAUACAAUAUGUGAUUCUAAAUAUUUGUCACGUUGAUUUUUAGAUACAUUGUUUGACCAUUCAUCUUAUUUAAAAAAUUAUAUAAAUAUCGUUUUGUUGCUUGUUUCGUCUUUAAGAUAUUUCAAGCCUUACUCGUAAAAGGAGAAAGCAUUUCAGGCCUCACUUACAUAUAUUUGUAUUUUUAUAUUAAAUUCUUUUAAAUAAGAUGAAUGUCACGAUAGAAGAACAAACCUUGUCUAUCUCCUCCACUGUCCACGAGUGCUCACAGCGAAACGCGGUUAGAGACUGAGAGUGGCCCCGCAGUUUAUCGCCGCCUGGCUCCUCCAGCGCCCGCUUCCUCCCAACCCCGCACAAAACCUCGCCGUCUGCGACGAGAUUUACUCAUCCACUCGUUAGUUUAAGUGUGAGGCCACCGCGUGCGGGGGGCGGCGGCGCGUGCGAGGUGAGCGCUCUAACCUGCGAUUUGGGACGGAGGGAGUACCAUUGCUGCCAGUGCCACCUCCCCCAAUCGCGGCGGCCAGUGAUCACAUCACCGAAACCCGCGGCCCUCGAGGAGAAAACGGCGGCGAUGAGGAAGGGCGCCGCGGUUGGCGCCGGCCCGGCUCCCGACCGGCGGCCCUCCUCGGAUCCACGCCCCCCCGGGGCCACCCCUCUCCCCGCCCCGCCGUUUCGUGCCGGAUUGCAGGCCCUUGGGCGGGCGCCGGUGCUGCGGCGGCGGGUGGGUUGGGGUUGGGGACUGUGGGGGCGGGGUCUGCGGCGGGUCCUGGUCGGGGGGCGUGGUCGGGCAGCGCGGGAUCUGAGCCGCCAUUGAUGGAUUUUUUUCGAGCGCUUGGUUUUGAUCGUCUUGGUACGCUCGCUGUUUCCUCCUCCUCGUCCUUCUUCUCGCCGCCGCCGCCGCCAUCCACCCACCCCACUCCACUCCACUCCUCUCUCUCUCUCCCGUAUGUGUAUGUGUGUAUGUAUGUUUGCACAUUCCACUCCCACUGAUCUCGAACCCUAGAUCGAAUCGAGGCUGUGUGCGGGCCAUUCUCACGAGCGGACGUCAAUUCAGGUCCCCAUCUCUACUGUGCCGCCUCGCCGCCGAUCCGUUGCCUUGCACCGGUGGCGGCAGGGGCUGGGAACUGUGUGGUGGCGCCUGACGCGACUGCCGAGUCGGGUUUUGGCCGGCCGCGGUCUACUGAUUCGCUACUCCGGAUGGAUGGAUGGAUGGAUGGAUCAUGGAUAGAUGCAAGGGUCCCGAAAUGGAGCUGAAAAACAUGGAGUGGAGCAGUCCAAAACAGGCCCUUAUUCUCUGUCCCAAUCAUUACUAUACAGCUGCUGCGGCAGCCACAGCGGUGAUCUCUUUAGCCUGCUGUUGCCUGUGUGUGCUGUGCUGUGCCUGUGAUCUGCUGACGGCUCUGCUUUGCUCUGAAUGUUCCUAGCCCUUCCGCUCCUCAUCCUCUCCACCUUGGUGGCAUCUGGAUGGGCAGUGCAAAUGGGAUCAGGAUAUGAGAUGAGAUGAGAUGCAAAAGAGGUGGAUUUUCUGACUUGAGUCAUGGUCAAAGUACCCAGUGUAAGUGAAAUUUUACUUAGGGUGACCAUAUCUGACAUUACCCGGACCUAUGAAUGGGGUGCUAAUGAGGGGCGAUGAUGUUCAACCUUUUCUGAAUUGCAUGCCAUUGAGCAAUCAAGGCAGCUGUGGGUAUCUAUCUAAUUUGAGCUGAUCUCUCCCCUCAUGAAGCCUAUUUAACCAUCUCUUAAUGUUUGUGGUUCUGUGCCUAGGAUGGUCAUUCAGAUAUGUGACAACCAGCGCAGUUCCACUUAUAUUAGGAUGAGUAAAUUGUGCAGAAAGAGGUGUGAGGGCUUGGCUUGUAUGAUCGAGCAAAGGCGAAGCUGAGCCCU
rnacentral:lncRNA from 1 species